AAACAUGCUCCCCUGUGUUCUCCCCAGUGAGCAGAGGAAACUCCAAAGGCAGAGGCCCGGAUGGUCUGCAGCAACAAAGCAAAAGAUUCGGUGAUCCAUGGAUCCUAAUCAAGAAGGCUGAUCUGCAAUGCCCAAAUACCCUAGUGAGUCAUUCAAGGCAUUUCAUGAUUGGCUUUCAAAGGAGGGCCUUUUAAACAUUCCAUCAGGGGCCUGCCGAGGACGUCUGGCGGCGAGUCAAUCAAGAAGCAGCAGGAACUGGCAGCAGAAGCUAUGAGGAUGUUUUAAAAAUAUAUAUUUAUAUAUA